CCUACGGGUGGCAGCAGUGAGGAAUAUUGGUCAAUGGGCGGGAGCCUGAACCAGCCAAGCCGCGUGAGGGAAGAAGGUCCGGCGUAUCGUAAACCUCUUUUGUCAGGGAACAAAGUCGGGGACUCGUCCCCGUAUGCGUGUACCUUACGAACAAGCAUCGGCUAACUCCGUGCCAGCAGCCGCGGUAAUACGGAGGAUGCGAGCGUUAUCCGUAUUUAUUGGGUUUAAAGGGUGCGCAGGGGGCCUGUUAAGUCAGCGGUAAAAGCCCGGUGCUCAACCCCGGCUAGCCGUUGAAACUGGCGGGCUGGAGUUGGAGAGAAGUACGCGGAAUGCGCGGUGUAGCGGUGAAAUGCUUAGAUAUCGCGCAGAACCCCGAUUGCGAAGGCAGCGUACCGGCUCCACACUGACGCUGAGGCACGAAAGCGUGGGUAUCGAACAGGAUUAGAUACCCGGGUAGUC
rnacentral:rRNA from 1 species